rnacentral:rRNA from 1 species
ACGAAGCAGUGAUGUGGAGCGAAACUCAAAAAAUAAGUCUCAGUUCGGAUUGAAGGCUGAAAUUCGCCUUCAUGAAGCCGGAAUUGCUAGUAAUGGCAGGUCAGCAUACUGCCGUGAAUACGUUCCCGGGCCUUGUACACACCGCCCGUCACACCAUGAGAGUUGGGAAUACCCGAAGCCUGUGAGCUAACUUUUAGAGGCAGCAGUCGAAGGUAGAAUCAAUGAUUGGGGUGAAGUCGUAACAAGGUACC